UACGUAGGAGACAAGCGUUGUCCGGAAUUACUGGGGGUAAAGCGCGUGUAGGCGGUAGGCCAAGUCUGCUGUGAAAUCGCCCGGCUCAACUGGGCGCGGUCGGUGGAAACUGGUCAACUGGAGGACGGUAGAGGCGAGUGGAAUUCCCGGUGUAGUGGUGAAAUGCGUAGAGAUCGGGAGGAACACCAGUGGCGAAGGCGGCUCGCUGGGCCGGUCCUGACGCUGAGACGCGAAGGCGUGGGGAGCGAACGGG
rnacentral:rRNA from 1 species